UUUUCCGGAAACCAACGGUUAAUCGUGUUCGUGCUCUUCUUCCCGCCAAAGCGCAAACCCUAAAUAAAUAAGGGCGUUACUCACUGUGCUGUGUGGAACGAACAAUGGAAUUCAAGUUAAGCGAUAACGCUCUCAAAACCUUUGCGCGGUGCAUCACUUGCCUAGCACGCAUCGGAAACGAACUCGCCAUUCAAGCCUCUUCCUCUCAGCUUCUUUUCCACACUAUUAAUUCGUCACGUUCUGCCUAUGAAUGCAUCGCCUUCAAGUCUGGCUUCUUUGACGCGUAUACUGUUGAUGGUAAUUCCGUGCAAUGUAGUGUGCUUCUGAAGGCUGUUUGUGCUGUUCUAAGGACACCUAUUACGAAUAUUGAUCAUUUGACUGUGAGACUGCCUGAUCCAGAUGCUCCCAAAGUGCGGUGGAUUUUGGAUUGCUAUAAUGGUAUGAGAAAAAGCUAUUGGAUUACUUGCAAUGUAGAACCCGACAUACAACACUUGUCCCUUGAUAGGCAAAAAUUUCCCAGCAACUUUGUUGUGAGGCCUCGAGAUCUGAACAGGUUACUUGCUAAUUUUCAGUCCUCUCUUCAAGAGAUCACUAUCAUUGCAACAGAACCUUCUGCUCUACCUCUUGAUGGUGCAAAUGAAAUUGGUGGAAAGGCUGUUGAACUUCGAAGUUAUAUGGACCCAACCAAAGACAAUGAUACAUUGCUGCACACCCAACUGUGGAUAGAUCCUAAAGAAGAAUUUUUGCAGUAUGUUCAUACUGGAGAUCCAAUAGAUGUGACUUUCAGUGUAAAAGAAUUGAAGGCAUUUCUUUCAUUUUGUGAGGGUUGUGAACUUGACAUCCAUUUACAUUUCGAGAAAGCUGGCGAACCUGUUCUUUUGGCACCUAAGUUCGGUUUGGAAGAUGGGUCACACUCAAAUUUUGAUGCCACCCUUGUGCUGGCAACCAUGUUAAUAUCCCAGCUUCAUGAAGGGGCUGUCUCAGAACCUCCUACAGGGGCCACCAGAGCACACCCUCAUACUGAAGAAAGAAAUGCAUCUUACAUGCAGCAAGAGAACUGCAGAGCAAAUGCAUCAUCAGAGCUUCCAUCUGAUCACACCCGUAUUUGGUCGGACCUCUCAGCAAGUGCAUUUAAAAGCAUUAGUCCUUUGGAAGAGCGGCAGGCACAAGGAGAAACAGUUUUGAAUGAUGAUGGUGGAAGAGAAAUUCAAAGAAUUAGCACAAUGCAAAUUUCUAGAGUAACAUCAGUUGCAGGAAAUAAUCCCAUUGACUCCAAUUUACCAACUGAAAAAAAUCAUGGACCAGAGCCUCAAGAUGGGCUACGAGAUAAUGUUCAAGCAAUUUCACAACAUCACCGCAGUAAUUGGAUUGACGCAGAAGAGGAUGAUGAAGACGAAGAGGAGCAAAAUGAGCAGUACAUUCAGUCAACACCGCCAUACUAUGAAGAGCAUUAAUUUAGAGAACUCUACUGAAGGCAUGGUGCAAAUCAGUUUGGAAUUGGCUUCAAUCUAUACAUAUGAAGCUUUCUUAAAGUCCGAGAUAUAUAGAACGGACCGAGAAAAAUUAAAAUGCUGACAUAUUGUCAAGCUAGUUUGGUUGACUAUUUAGAGGCGAGAGGACUUGGAGCGUUGGACCACUGAACAGAAACCAUUAAACUCUUCCAGAAGGUAGUAGCUGCUCGUAUCUUAUAUUAUAUUUUAAUACCGGGGAUUUUCUGCAAAACUUGUUGUGUUUGGGAUGUUCGAUUUAAUGGGACUCGUUCAACGGUUUAAACCAAAUUCUGGAAAAACAUAGAUUUGACUUUAUCCUUUUAUAUGAAAAUCUUCCUUUGACCUUUUA